rnacentral:tRNA from 1 species
CAAAUUAUAGUUUAUUAAAUAUUUUAUUUACAUUAAAAAGAUAGUUGAUUAUUUCAAUUUAAUUUGA